UACGAACGCUGGCGGCGUGCCUAAUACAUGCAAGUCGAACGCUUCUUUUCCCACCGGAGCUUGCUCCACCGGGAAAAGAGGAGUGGCGAACGGGUGAGUAACACGUGGGUAACCUGCCCAUCAGAAGGGGAUAACACUUGGAAACAGGUGCUAAUACCGUAUAACAAUCGAAACCGCAUGGUUUCGUUUUGAAAGGCGCUUUACGGUGCCGCUGAUGGAUGGACCCGCGGUGCAUUAGCUAGUUGGUGAGGUAACGGCUCACCAAGGCCACGAUGCAUAGCCGACCUGAGAGGGUGAUCGGCCACAAUGGGACUGAGAAACGGCCCAAACUCCUACGGGAGGCAGCAGUAGGGAAUCUUCGGCAAUGGACGAAAGUCUGACCGAGCAACGCCGCGUGAGUGAAGAAGGUUUUCGGAUCGUAAAACUCUGUUGUUAGAGAAGAACAAGGGUGAGAGUAACUGUUCACCCCUUGACGGUAUCUAACCAGAAAGCCACGGCUAACUACGUGCCAGCCGCCGCAGUAA
rnacentral:rRNA from 1 species